CGAGAAGGCUCUUGGCGGUGGAUCACUCGGCUCGCGAGUCGAUGAAGGACGCAGCCAGCUGCG
rnacentral:rRNA from 1 species